rnacentral:rRNA from 1 species
CAGGGAAUAUUGCACAAUGGACGGAAGUCUGAUGCAGCGACGCCGCGUGGAUGACGAAGGCCUUCGGGUCGUAAAAUCCUUUUCGGGGGGAAGAGAGAGGACGGUACCCUCGGAAUAAGCGUCGGCUAACUACGUGCCAGCAGCCGCGGUAAUACGUAGGACGCGAGCGUUAUCCGGAUUUACUGGGCGUAAAGCGUCUGUAGGCGGUUGUGUAAGUUGGAUGUGAAAGCUCCGGGCUUAACUCGAAGAGACCAUUCAAUACUGCGCGACUAGAGGGCGUGAGAGGGGAGCAGAAUUUCCGGUGUGGCGAUAAAAUGCGAAGAUAUCGGGAGGAACACCAGUGGCGCAGGCGGCUCCCGGGUACGCACCUGACGCUGAGAGAC